rnacentral:misc_RNA from 1 species
GAGAGUGAGGGGAGAGGUAGGUGAGGUGAGGUAGUCAGGAGAGCAGGACGCGCCAGUUGCUGCCGGUUCCUGCAGACGGAGCUAGUCGAUAUCGCCGCUCUGCGUCCCCACCACUGGCUCUGUGAUCACCCACUUCCCUGCUCCCUCUGCUGGCUGUACCCACACGUCAGAUCCCCCUCGCCUCCAGCCCUCUCUCGUUCCUCUUAAUUUUUAAAUCACAACAGCCAUUUGCGGUGAUGGCUCGUCGAGACGCACAUCGUCUUGAAGAAACAUAGUACACUCUCUUAAUAACAUUGAGCCUGGUAGCGAUAUCAAAACCAACAAGUGAGGAACGUCAGAAAAAGCCCGCGAAAGUUAGCAGGGGGCGACGGAAUCAGCAUCACAAGUAGCAGUUCAGUUCCCGGGCCGAGAUCAACAGGCAGAGGCGGAGGAUGGUAGAGCAGGUGGCGAGGGGCGAGCUAACAUGGUGAUCACGACACCUCCAGGCUAGUAGAGGAGUUGACCAAUGUUGCGGCUGACGUCUGAACCCAAUAAAGUCGUAAUCCAUCCGCACAAGAUGUUCGCCUCCAGACGCAAGAGCCUGCCAGACCCCUCAGCCCUAUCUUCGUUAUCUGGCACUCGUAACACUAAGCGACGCGCCUCCAAUGGCUUCCUCAACCCAGAGCUGAUGGCAGUCCCUGGUGAUGGAGGACCAUCAGGGUUGAGCAGUGGUGGCAGCAGCCUGGGUGAUGGUCGCUUGCUGGUGGCUGAUCUCAGGCAUCAUAACUUUGAUGCCAUCCGCUUUGCUUCCUAUCGCACCGCUGCCAAGCUCCGCUUUGUACAAAAGAAGACAAAUAUGCAUCGAGUUGAUAUUUGGAACAUCAUUGAAGCUUUCCGAGAAAAUGGUCUUAAUACUCUAGAGCCAUACACUGAGGUCAAGGUGUCGAGGCUGGAGACGUUAAUAUCAACCUUGUAUCAUAGUUUAAACAAGAGACUCCCAGUGGGACAGAAUGUUGUUAUUGAGUCAUCUACCUCUAUACUUCUAAACUGGUUGCUGUCUGCUUAUGAUAAAGAUGAUGAAGGCAAGUUGCGAGUGUUCAGUGUGAAGGUUGCAUUGGCUACACUGUGCAGCAGCAAACCUCUUGAUAAGCUCAGGUAUAUAUUCUCACAGAUAUCUGAUGGCAAUGGACACCUUUCACUUAGUCGCUUUUCUGAAUACCUGAAGGAAGUCCUUGCGUUACCAGCUGCUGUUUUUGAAUCUCCGAGUUUCUCGUACUCAGAAAAUUUAGUCACCCAUAUAUUUGAUGGGGUAAAGCAAAUUAAUGUCAAUGACUUCUUAGAAGUAGUUUUGGAGGAUCCGGGUCCAGAAUGUUUGGCAUGGUUACCCCUUCUACAUCGCCUUGCUGCCUCUGAAUCUGUCAUCCACCAGACCAUGUGUGAUGGGUGCCGGAGAGAAAACUUCAGCGGACUGCGAUACAAGUGUGAGAAGUGCCACAACUACAGUAUGUGCCAAGAGUGCUUCUGGCUAGGACGCUUCUCUCCCCCUCACUCCAUACAUCAUCAAGUGAAAGAAUACACCUCAUUUACACCAACUCGACAUUCUUUCCGUCGUAGCUUACGCUGUGUGCCAGACAGGCCAUCAGUAGAUAGACCAAGGUUUCCUGAGCAUCCAGAAAAAACUUUAAAUCUUUCUCAUAUAGUACCUCCAUCACCUCUCCCUACACAUAAUGGUUUUGAAGGAGGAGCUUCAGCACCUCCACCUACCUCCUUGGAUAGUCGUUCAUCCAGCAGAAGUUGUGUUAGCAGCUUACCAGACUGGAGUCAGCUGGACGAAGAGCACCGGCUCAUUGCCCACUAUGCUGCUCGACUUGCUAACCAAACUUCACAGUCAGGCAGUGAGAGUGUUGACUCCAGCCCAGGAUUUGAUGCCUCUUCAGCACAGCGUGAACUUAUCCAAUCACUUGAGGCAAAGAAUAGGGAUAUUAUGAGAGAGAUUAAUGCUCUAAGGAACAGAGUGUAUGUUUGCAGGCGACAGCAGGAGCGCGUGGAGGGUAGCAGCAACCCGACAUUGGUAGCAGAGCUGAGAUCCCUUCGGUCACAUCGUCAUGAGUUAGAGUCAAACCUUUCCUACCUCCAAGACUCACGCAAGCAGCUGAUGCAGCAAUUGGAGAGUCUUAUGAAAAUGCUCAAGAAUCAUCAAACCUCACCCACGACUCCAAAUGGAUCACCAAAAUCACCACCCUUUUCUACGAGUGGAACAGGUGGUAGUAGUGUAAUGUCAAACCUUCCCAGCGGGACACAGGGAUCCGUGGCUUCAUCGCGCUCGGCUCCGGCAACGCCCUCACAUACAGCUCAAGUAUCAACUUUAGAUUCUCUUUCUUCACUACAUGUUGAUGGCCUACAGUCAGCAGUUUCUUCAGUAUUCUCAAGUGCUGGGUCAAGUUGUACUCCAGACAACUCUCCUGAUGAUAGUCUAGCUUCUCGCAGUCUAAGAAAUGAUCUUUUAGUUGCAGCCGAUUCUGUCACAAAUGCCAUGUCCAGUCUUGUUCGGGAGUUAAAUUCAGAAAGUUCAGAUGAUGACUCGCUGCUAACCAGACCACUGCCUGAGCGAGGUUUUGCUGCCAACUUACGCAAUGAACUUCAACUCAACCAGUAAGAUCUAAUACAUGAUUAAAAGGUCAUUCUUUUUAAGAAUGACUUUCAUGUACUACUAUGACUUCAAGGGCAUAUACGAAAGUCCAGCUUGGCGUAGCAUGACUGACGGCACCUACAAUGAAGAUGAGGGACCAUUAUCUCAUCUACACAUCCGCAAAUCUAGUGGGGACCUGCCUCUACUUAACACACAGGU